rnacentral:rRNA from 1 species
AGUGAACGCUGGCGGUAGGCCUAACACAUGCAAGUCGAACGGCAGCACAGUAAGAGCUUGCUCUUACGGGUGGCGAGUGGCGGACGGGUGAGGAAUACAUCGGAAUCUACUUUUUCGUGGGGGAUAACGUAGGGAAACUUACGCUAAUACCGCAUACGACCUACGGGUGAAAGCAGGGGAUCUUCGGACCUUGCGCGAUUGAAUGAGCCGAUGUCGGAUUAGCUAGUUGGCGGGGUAAAGGCCCACCCAGGCGACGAUCCGUAGCUGGUCUGAGAGGAUGGUCCGCCACACUGGAGCUGAGACACGGCCCUGACACCUACGGGCGGCAGCAGUGGCGAAGAUAGGACAAUGGGCGCAAGCCUGCUCCAGCCAUACCGCGUUGGUGAAGAAGGCCUUCGUGUUGUAAAGCCCUUUUGUUGGGAAAGACAAGCAGCAGGUUAAUACCCCGCUGUUCUGACGGUACCCAAAGAAUAAGCACCGGCUACCUUCGU